rnacentral:rRNA from 1 species
GACGAACCGUGCGAACGUUGUUCGGAUUCACUGGGCUUAAAGGGCGCGUAGGCGGCUACUCAAGUCGGGGGUGAAAUCCUCUCGCUUAACGAGAGAAUUGCUUUCGAUACUGGGUAGCUGGAGGGAGAUAGGGGUGCGCGGAACUUCCGGUGGAGCGGUGAAAUGCGUAGAUAUCGGAAGGAACGCCGGUGGCGAAAGCGGCGCACUGGAUCUCUUCUGACGCUGAGGCGCGAAAGCCAGGGGAGCAAACGGG